AGAGUUUGAUCCUGGCUCAGGAUGAACGCUAGCGAUAGGCUUAACACAUGCAAGUCGAGGGGCAGCAUGGUCUUAGCUUGCUAAGACUGAUGGCGACCGGCGCACGGGUGCGUAACGCGUAUGCAACUUGCCUCACAGAGGGGGAUAACCCGUCGAAAGACGGACUAAUACCGCGUACACUCCAUCUUGGGCAUCCAAGGUAGAGGAAAUGAAUUUCGCUGUGAGAUAGGCAUGCGUCCCAUUAGCUAGUUGGUGAGGUAACGGCUCACCAAGGCGACGAUGGGUAGGGGAACUGAGAGGUUGAACCCCCACACUGGUACUGAGACACGGACCAGACUCCUACGGGAGGCAGCAGUGAGGAAUAUUGGUCAAUGGGCGAGAGCCUGAACCAGCCAAGUCGCGUGAAGGAUGACUGUCUUAUGGAUUGUAAACUUCUUUUGUAGGGGAAUAAAGAACAGCACGUGUGCUGUAGUGAAUGUACCCUACGAAUAAGCAUCGGCUAACUCCGUGCCAGCAGCCGCGGUAAUACGGAGGAUGCGAGCGUUAUCCGGAUUUAUUGGGUUUAAAGGGUGCGUAGGCGGCCUGUUAAGUCAGCGGUGAAAUCUAGGAGCUUAACUCCUAAAUUGCCAUUGAUACUGGCGGGCUUGAGUGUAGAUGAGGUAGGCGGAAUGCGUGGUGUAGCGGUGGAAUGCAUAGAUAUCACGCAGAACUCCGAUUGCGAAGGCAGCUUACUAAGGUACAACUGACGCUGAAGCACGAAAGCGUGGGUAUCAAACAGGAUUAGAUACCCUGGUAGUCCACGCAGUAAACGAUGAUAACUGGGCGUAUGCGAUAUACAGUAUGCUCCUAAGCGAAAGCGUUAAGUUAUCCACCUGGGGAGUACGCCGGCAACGGUGAAACUCAAAGGAAUUGACGGGGGCCCG
rnacentral:rRNA from 1 species